rnacentral:rRNA from 1 species
UACGUAGGGUGCAGGCGUUAAUCGGAAUUACUGGGCGUAAAGCGUGCGCAGGCGGUUUGCUAAGACAGGUGUGAAAUCCCCGGGCUUAACCUGGGAACUGCGCUUGUAACUGGCAAGCUUGAGUGUGGCAGAGGGGGGUGGAAUUCCACGUGUAGCAGUGAAAUGCAUAGAGAUGUGGAGGAACACCGAUGGCGAAGGCAGCCCCCUGGGCUAACACUGACGCUCAUGCACGAAAGCGUGGGGAGCAAACAGG